rnacentral:rRNA from 1 species
GAUGAACGCUGGCGGCGUGCCUAAUACAUGCAAGUCGAGCGAACAGACGAGGAGCUUGCUCCUCUGACGUUAGCGGCGGACGGGUGAGUAACACGUGGAUAACCUACCUAUAAGACUGGGAUAACUUCGGGAAACCGGAGCUAAUACCGGAUAAUAUAUUGAACCGCAUGGUUCAAUAGUGAAAGACGGUUUUGCUGUCACUUAUAGAUGGAUCCGCGCCGCAUUAGCUAGUUGGUAAGGUAACGGCUUACCAAGGCAACGAUGCGUAGCCGACCUGAGAGGGUGUUGGCCCACACUGAAACGGGGCACGGGUCCAGCUCCCAACGGGAGCAGGCGGUGGGAAACCUUCCGCAAGGGGGGAAAGCCGGACGGAGCAAGGCGGCGUGGGUGAUGAAGGUCUUCGGAUCGUAAAACCCUGUUAUAGGGGAAGACAAAUGUGUAAGUAACUAUGCACGUCUUGAUGGUACCUAAUCAGAAAGCCACGGCUAACUACGUG